rnacentral:rRNA from 1 species
GAUGAACGCUGGCGGCGUGCCUAACACAUGCAAGGUCGAACGGGUGUGGUAUCAGGGAAAAGGGGUUUACUCUUUGACCAGAUAACACACUAGUGGCGGACGGGUGAGUAACGCGUGGAUAACCUGCCUUAUACAGGGGGAUAACAGGGAGAAAUUCUUGCUAAUACCCCAUAGGUAUGUCUGACGCAUGUUGGACGUAUUAAAGCUUUGGCGGUAUAAGAUGGGUCCGCGUCUGAUUAGCUAGUUGGUGGGGUAAAGGCCCACCAAGGCGACGAUCAGUAGCCGGCUUGAGAGAGUGGACGGCCACAUUGGGACUGAGACACGGCCCAAACUCCUACGGGAGGCAGCAGUGGGGAAUAUUGCACAAUGGGGGAAACCCUGAUGCAGCGACGCCGCGUGAAGGAAGAAGGUCUUCGGAUCGUAAACUUCUAUCAGCAGGGAAGAAGGAAGUGACAGUACCUGAGUAAGAAGCCCCGGCUAACUACGUG